CUUCCCUCCCCAGUUCUUCUCAGCUUGCCGAGCGCAGUACGGCGGUAGCUCCCUAUAUCGUCAUCCUUGAUCCAAUCUCGUCGGCAACAACGGCGGCUCUCUCUCUCUCUAGCAAUUUCUCCUCAGCGUGCCGAGCGCAUGCGGACGGACGGACGGCGCAGGUUCGUCGCACGUCAUCCCUCGCCGUUCUGCAUCUUCCCGAGCCGCCUCUUUGCCUGCUCUAUCAAUUGCGACCUGCCGCCGCACCCUCGUCACCCCGACCUGUUUUCAUUGGGAGCGGAGGCGCAUUUCCAUGAGGCUGAGCGGAGGAAGGCGGCAGCACUUGAGGGAGACGGCAUUCCACGGGGUCUGGUUACAGCCGCUGCUCAUCAUGGAUACCUUAUUUAUGCUACGAUCUAACUGGGUCUGUCAAUUACAUGCGGAUAUAGACAAGUUCAGGAAAGACCUGGCCGCUGAACUUAUUUUUGCAGAGGCAAACAAGGCUCACGAUGUGAAAGCAGCAGGUGAAGCACUCAUGAACCAGGAGGACGACGAUGAUGCAGAAUAGCUAUUCCUGCCACACCACUGUCUUCAAUUAUCUUAGCUAUACUGCUCUCUUCAACUGCCAACUAUUUUGGUUUAAAGAUUGGUGAUUUGGUUCUUUUCUAAGGCUUGGAGAAUUUUGGAAAUUAGCUUGCUGUUAGGAGAUUUGUCAGUUAGUAUGACACCGUUGGUGGCUUGAAUGAAGGGCAAAUGUAAUCAACCUCUGUAUUGC